UACGUAGGGUGCAAGCGUUGUCCGGAAUUAUUGGGCGUAAAGAGCUCGUAGGCGGUUCGUCGCGUCGGCUGUGAAAACCCGAGGCUCAACCUCGGGCCUGCAGUCGAUACGGGCAGACUAGAGUUCGGUAGGGGAGACUGGAAUUCCUGGUGUAGCGGUGAAAUGCGCAGAUAUCAGGAGGAACACCGGUGGCGAAGGCGGGUCUCUGGGCCGAAACUGACGCUGAGGAGCGAAAGCGUGGGGAGCGAACAGG
rnacentral:rRNA from 1 species